rnacentral:rRNA from 1 species
UAGAGUUUGAUCCUGGCUCAGAUUGAACGCUGGCGGCAUGCCUUACACAUGCAAGUCGAACGGCAGCACGGGGGCAACCCUGGUGGCGAGUGGCGAACGGGUGAGUAAUACAUCGGAACGUGUCCUGGAGUGGGGGAUAGCCCGGCGAAAGCCGGAUUAAUACCGCAUACGCUCUACGGAGGAAAGCGGGGGACCUUCGGGCCUCGCGCUCAAGGGGCGGCCGAUGGCGGAUUAGCUAGUUGGUGAGGUAAAGGCUCACCAAGGCGACGAUCAGUAGCUGGUCUGAGAGGACGAUCAGCCACACUGGGACUGAGACACGGCCCAGACUCCUACGGGAGGCAGCAGUGGGGAAUUUUGGACAAUGGGCGAAAGCCUGAUCCAGCAAUGCCGCGUGUGUGAAGAAGGCCUUCGGGUUGUAAAGCACUUUUGUCCGGAAAGAAAUGGCCUUGGUUAAUACCUGAGGUCGAUGACGGUACCGGAAGAAUAAGGACCGGCUAACUACGUGCCAGCAGCCGCGGUAAUACGUAGGGUCCAAGCGUUAAUCGGAAUUACUGGGCGUAAAGCGUGCGCAGGCGGUUGUGCAAGACCGAUGUGAAAUCCCCGGGCUUAACCUGGGAACUGCAUUGGUGACUGGCAAGCUAGAGUGUGGCAGAGGGGGGUAGAAUUCCACGUGUAGCAGUGAAAUGCGUAGAGAUGUGGAGGAAUACCGAUGGCGAAGGCAGCCCCCUGGGAUAACACUGACGCUCAUGCAC